CCAACAGGGAUUGCCUUAGUAACGGCGAGUGAAGCGGCAAGAGCUCAAAUUUGAAAUCUGGCCCUUUCGGGGUCCGAGUUGUAAUUUGCAGAGAGUGUUUCGGGUGAGACCACGGUCUAAGUCCAUUGGAACAUGGUGUCAUAGAGGGUGAGAAUCCCGUAUGUGACUGUGGGUGGAGCCCAAGUGAAGCCUCUUCGACGAGUCGAGUUGUUUGGGAAUGCAGCUCAAAAUGGGUGGUAAAUUUCAUCUAAAGCUAAAUACUGGCUGGAGACCGAUAGCGCACAAGUAGAGUGAUCGAAAGAUGAAAAGCACUUUGAAAAGAGAGUCAAACAGUACGUGAAAUUGUUGAAAGGGAAGCGUUUGCAACCAGACCUGCCCGUAGGUGAUCAGCCGCUGUUUUCAGUGGUGCACUCGCUCUACGAUCAGGCCAGCAUCGGUUCGGGCGGCCGGACAAAGGCCCUGGGAAUGUAGCUCUCCCCGGGGAGUUUUAUAGCCCUCGGUGCCAUGCGGCCAGCCUGGAUCGAGGACCGCGCUUCGGCUAGGAUGCUGGCGUAAUGGCUGUAAACGACCCGUCUUGAAACACGGACCAAGGAGUCUAACAUCUAUGCGAGUGUUUGGGUGUCAAACCCGUACGCGGAAUGAAAGUGAACGGAGGUGAGAACCCCUAAGGGCGCAUCAUCGACCGAUCCAAAUGUCUUCGGAUGGAUUUGAGUAUGAGCAUAGCUGUUGGGACCCGAAAGAUGAUGAACUAUACUUGAAUAGGGUGAAGCCAGAGGAAACUCUGGUGGAGGCUCGCAGCGGUUCUGACGUGCAAAUCGAUCGUCAAAUUUGGGUAUAGGGGCGAAAGACUAAUCGAAUCAUCUAGUAGCUGGUUCCUGCCGAAGUUUCCCUCAGGAUAGCAGUAACGUUUUCAGUUUUAUGAGGUAAAGCGAAUGAUUAGAGGCCUUGGGGUUGAAACAACCUUAACCUAUUCUCAAACUUUAAAUAUGUAAGAAGUCCUUGUUACUUAAUUGAACGUGGACAUUUGAAUGCACCGUUACUAGUGGGCCAUUUUUGGUAAG
rnacentral:rRNA from 1 species